CUUCUAUGCCUGCUUGGAAGAUCUGAGGGGCUCUUUGGAUGCAGGUUACUUCUUUUCUUGCAUGCUGUUAUUGGAGUUGUUCCUUGCUUUGUUAUGCUUUUAAAAUUUGAAACUACCAUUUUGAUGAAGGCAUGUGCAGUAAACAUAAUUCAAAAAUAACAGGAAAACUUUACAACAAUAUAAAGGAGAAUGAAAUGGCAUUUGGAAUCUAAAUGGUCCUUGUUUAUAUUCUGUUAUCAAUCAAUCAACAAGAAUAUCUGCUAAGAAAAUGUUGGUGUAAGAAUUUAGAAUAAAAAAUUAAUGCGGAAGAAUAAAGAAUAUUUUUAUUG
rnacentral:misc_RNA from 1 species